GUUCCCUGUUCCAGGAAAUCACGUCUCAUUUCUGAGCACCCCCACUGCACCUAAAAUCCCUGCUUGACACACCCUGAAUUUUUUUCAAGAAAAGUCAGCAAACCUGAAAUCUUAUUUUUAAAAAUCCCGGGUUAAGUUCCAUAUUUCAGCUCUGGGAACUCCUCUGACCCAAUCUGGUGACAUAGCAGAGGUCAAAUGGUAGAGAAGCUCUUGCGUAUAAAUGCAGCCUCUUUGGAGAGCAUCAGCUCAAACCUUUUCCAGUAAAGAGAAGCCAGUGACUUUCUCCAAACCAAAUUCAAGGAUAUAGCAUCUUUACUUUCUCGGGAUGGGGGCAAAACACCCGACACCCGCAAGUUAAAGGAGAAAAAAGGUUUAUUGUAGCUGUAGAGAUUGCAGACCACAGUUGGCUGGCUCUAAGGCAGGUGGCGCGGCAGGGAAGAAAGAGGCAGUAAGGAGCCUGCCUUCCCUCUUUCACUGCAUUCCGGCAACCAGUCUGUUGAUUGGUGGCACCCACACCCAGGAUGGAGCUUGUCUUGUAAAUCAGUUCAGCCACACCUAGAAUCACACUAAUCCAAUGGAUGGACUAACUAGCUGUCACAAUCCCUGAGUGUGUGUGGGGGCUCCUUGAAGCAUCUAGAAAUCCAUCCAGAAACCUGCCAGCACCUGCGCCAAAGUACUGCCCAGGGUGUGUUGGCAGCUGCCCCUGCUGCUUCCAAGCCCUUUCCGUUAGAUUUCUGCCACGUCUGCUCUCUGAACAGUGACAGUCCUGGCUCCUUUCCAAGGUACGCACACAGGGAGAUGUGUGGUCCCCCCUCUGCAUGGGGACCACUAAUAAGCUGGACACCUGUUUCUCCAUUCUUGGUGCCUUCUAGGGGGAGGAGUGAGCCUGAUGCCUUGGCUAGGUCAGCACUUUAGACCUGUGCUCUGCCUUCUGGGAACAGGGAACUUUGAUCUUACUUGCUGCACAUUGGCCCUGUGUCCAGGUACCCAUUUCUUCCAGCAGGGAAGCCAGAGCAGUCCAAGUCUGCGUGUGGCCAGAGAGGUGUAUUAGUUUGCCCCAGUUGCCAUUGUUGUGCCCAGAUCGCGAAAGCCCCAAAUUUUGAAUUAGGGUUUUUAUAGAAGCUACAGCAAGGUUUUAUCUAGCAAUUAUAAUGAUUGGUCGACGCUUAGCAUGCAUGAAGUGUAGAUUUCUGAUUGGCUAGGCUCAUCGGGGGCUUGAGGGGGAUUACGUAUAGGUUUUACAAGGGAAAAAGGGGACAAAGGUUAGUGGCCCACUGUCACAUACUGAUGGUCAGCAGACAUCCUGACUAAUAGUCACUACCACCCUGUGUGGACAGCCAGCACAUGAACAGAUUGUCCUAUAGAUAGCGGGCCCAGAACAUUUGCUUCUAGGGUAAACAAAUGGCUGGGUAAUAAACUUAGGAAUCUUGUCCUGUUACAGAUUGUGUCUCCUGUCCCAGAGCAAACACAUUUUAACCACUAAUUUGAGAGGCUAGGGGAAUGGUGGAUUUUAGCAAAAUGGAGUCGCUUUGGUCUCACACCAUAACAAAACUCUUUGGCGUACAUAGUGAUGUUUUGGAGGCUGGAAGUCUUAAGAUCUAAGGGAUGGGUAGAGUUGGUUCCUUGUGAGGCAGUGAGGGAGAAUGUUCCAGGCUCUCCUCUCCCAGCUUCUGGUGCGGUGGCACUUCUUUGGUCUUCCUUGACUUGUGGCAUAGGAAAAAAUAUAGCUUCCAACUCGUUAAUGUCAACUGUGCUAAAUUCGUGGUCUCACAACAUUAGUCUUGAACCAGUGGAGAAAGUUGAGUCCUUAUUGGAAAAAAGGGGAAGAAUAGGUCCUAGAUUUCUGGGAGGGAUCUCAAAUGGGCAGUUGGGUGAGUUCUCUGUCAGGGGUAAUUCAUACAGCAGAGUGUCAAUGUGGGUCAAACUAUAAUCAAGCUAUAAGGUGAAAAGUAUGGCUGCUUAGCUAAUAUUGAUCCAAUAGGAUAACGAGUCAGGCAGCAAGGAUACGUGGAAAGAACCAAAGGCAUUUUGGGAAGGGAUGGGUUCAGAUGCUCUGUUUAUCCACCUGGGCAUCUGAUGCCUAGCUGGACUUCCCCGGACCAGGUGGCACUAAUUACAGUGUAAUUUCAAGUUACUGCUUCUGUAGGGAGGUAUACAGACCUGGCCACUGCGUCUUGAGGCUUGGGAUUUGGAUUUGCCUCUAGCUUACAACUCUGAUGUCUAUUUUUGUUCUAACUUCCUUGACGGGGCCCAGUCCCUUUCUGUGUACCAAUUCUAUCUAACCUGGCUAUGACAGGAACAUCUUUCAUCUCUGCCUUCACUUUCACUUGUUCCCAUGUUGCAAAUUUCCCUCUUAAAAGGACAUCAGAUCCUAAUGGGUAAGGGAUCACACUACUCCAGUUGACCUCAACCGAAGUAGUUGUGUGUGGAACAACUACAUUUCCUGUCAGCCACAUUGUGAGACUGGAAGCGAGCACUUGAACAUACGACUUGUUUCAGCCUGGGCUUACCUUCCUAUUCUAAACCACAGCCCUGGCCCCUGGCUUCUGAACCCUCUUGGAGGGAAGAUUACAAGGACAGUUGAGUUUUGCAGAAAUGCUCCUGUGAGUGUCAUGGGCACCAUAACUUUGCCCACCUCUUCCUGGGGCACUUGCCCUUAGGAAAAUCUCAAACCAGGGUACAAAGGCAUCAAUGAGCAGGGAGUGGCACUACAUGUGCCUGGUGAAGGUCCCUAAAGUGACUGCAAAGUAGCUGUGGUGCCUCCAUCCUAGCUCCUGGCUCCAAAGUUGACAAUCAGUUAACGUCCAAAGUGGGCAAGUUAAAACAGCAUGCCUAAACUUCUCAAAUUUAGUGGAUUAAAGUUAAAAGGCAGCCUCUAAAAUAGUCACCAGAGUACUUUGUUUCAUCUAGAGGUUGACUUGGCAUCUCCUGUCCCUUGGACUGAGGGACUGGUUCCUCAACCUGACUGAUGCAGCCAUUGAUACUUACAAGUGUGUGACAUCGAAGACACUUAUGCUCUGGCUUGGGUCUAGGUCCUGUGUGAGAAGCAAGCCACUUAUCCGUAGGUGGGUGGGCUUCAGUGAUCACCAGUGGCAUGUUUGGACUGGACAGAAAGGGCUUCUGUACACCAACAACCUCAAUUCCUGUGCUUUGAAGUCUGUUUUCACAAUAGAUUCAAAGGGAGAGUCCAGGUUGAGGUUUGGAAGUGGAUGAGUUCAGACUCGAUGAAUCACGUAGCACCACCAUCAUGUACCUCUGGAGAACCCUUGGUUUUCAACAAGGCUUUGUCAUAUCACUGUACAUCUGUACCACUGAAACACUAAGCACCUUCUGGUGCAGAUAUGUUCCCAGAAAGUUGGUAUCACAGUUGUGCAUUGCGCUGGGGGAGAUGCUGUGGUUUUGUGCACAGUGCAGGG
ensembl:lncRNA